AGUUCCUGAGGAAGGUUAGCCUUUUAGCUAACGACUUUUUUAUAUUUACUUUUAAACGCGGAGGAAAAGUUCACCGUUCGUUUGUCGGUUUUUUUUUUGUGUGUGUCUGUUUUUAUUUAGUUUCUUUUAUUUAUUUGUUUUUUUUUUUUAUGUAGUGAAGUUAAGGAAAGUUCUCUCCUGUUCAGGCCAGUUUACCUCACACAGGUCUAAGUGUUUCAGUGAGCUGUGUGUUUAUGACCUGUUCGAAGUGUUCCUGUUGCUCAGGGAAGUUUCUAGACUUUGGUCAGUACUGGGGCACAGACCCCUCAAAAACUUCAGAGGAGUAGCAUUCAAUUCUGGUGACUUUGGGGAGUAUUUAUUUAUUUAUUUACUUAUUUCUUCAUUUAAAAUCACCUUAUGUAACAGACAUUAAUGUAAGUACUGUGUGUGUGUACUGCGGAUCAUUUCAUCUGUUUAGUUUUUUUUUUUUAUUUACUGUAAAGGGAUUUGCUCAAAUUGUCUAGUGUUUUCUAAGCGCUGGGGCCUGGCUGGAAUAUUUUACGCGCGAGAGGGUUAAUGCUUUGACAUUUUCGGGGUGUAUCUGGGUAAUUUGUCAAUGUUGUGGUUGUUGAUUAAGGUCCGGGUUCUGAAAGGUUUAUUCGAGGAGUAGUGAAAUGAAAUUCUGCAGUGAAAUCAUUCAGAAGCAGGGUUUGUCGUUGCUUUCUGCUUCUUCUCACCUGACUGGUGGUGAUCUUCUGUCCUUCUGCCACAUCUGGGAAGGAGAUAAGUUUGUAUAUCCAUCUGGAUAAAUAAAUAAAAAUGAGCUAUGCGUAGUACUAUGUAGAUCGCUCCUUGCAAACAGAACAGCUAAAAAAAAAAAAAUCUAUUUAAAAAAAAAAAAACGAAUCCACAACUAUCAUUUUUUCGUGAGCAAACUAAGUAACUGGUCGUCUAAAUUAACAAAUCACUUUAAAUCACAUCGUUAUACGAGACAAGCAAGCAUUCUUUUAGCAGCUAACGUGCUAACAUUUUUCAUCAGAUCUGCGCCAAGUAAAUUGGAUCUGGAGCACAGGAUGUCCUCAGUCACCUAAAUACAAGUUCACAUGUACUACUCAUUAACACAGCAGUUUAUUUUAUUUAUUUUUUUUAAUAACAGAAAAAUGGCCGAUCCUGAUUGGUUAAUCCUGAUCAGCAGCUGGGAGCCAAUAAAAGGUGGUUAAACGCACCAAGGCAAGUGCUGAUUGGCUCAGUAGUAUUUUGGGGAGGUUAAAUAUUUAUUAGGAAUGAUAAGGAUGUGGAUUGUUUUAUGGACUUUAUUACAGCUUUAAGGGGUUAUCUGACUCUGAAGUACACUGCUGUGAGCGGUAACUACUCUGUAUUAAU
ensembl:lncRNA